CCAGCCCGCUCAGAAAACUUAAAGGAAUUGACGGGGGCCCGCACAAGCGGGUGGAGCAUGUGGUUUAAUUCGAUGAUACGCGAGGAACCUUACCUGGGCUCAAAUGUAUGUUGACGUAUUCUGAAAGGGAUACUUCUUCGGACAAUAUACAAGGUGCUGCAUGGUUGUCGUCAGCUCGUGCCGUGAGGUGUCGGGUUAAGUCCCAUAACGAGCGCAACCCCUAUCAUUAGUUGCCAUCAGGUCAAGCUGGGGACUCUAAUGAAACUGCCUACGCAAGUAGUGAGGAAGGUGGGGAUGACGUCAAAUCAGCACGGCCCUUACGUCCAGGGCUACACACGUGCUACAAUGGCCGGUACAAAGGGCAGCUACCUGGUGACAGGAUGCUAAUCUCCAAAACCACUCUCAGUUCGGAUCGGAGUCUGCAACUCGACUCCGUGAAGCUGGAUUCGCUAGUAAUCGCGCAUCAGCCACGGCGCGGUGAAUACGUUCCCGGGCCUU
rnacentral:rRNA from 1 species